rnacentral:rRNA from 1 species
GAGUUUGAUCGUGGCUCAGGACGAACGCUGGCGGCGUGCCUAAUACAUGCAAGUCGAGCGGAUCUUCAUUAGCUUGCUUUUGAAGAUCAGCGGCGGACGGGUGAGUAACACGUGGGCAACCUGCCUGUAAGACUGGGAUAACUUCGGGAAACCGGAGCUAAUACCGGAUGAUCCUUUUCCUCUCAUGAGGAAAAGCUGAAAGACGGUUUCGGCUGUCACUUACAGAUGGGCCCGCGGCGCAUUAGCUAGUUGGUGAGGUAACGGCUCACCAAGGCGACGAUGCGUAGCCGACCUGAGAGGGUGAUCGGCCACACUGGGACUGAGACACGGCCCAGACUCCUACGGGAGGCAGCAGUAGGGAAUCUUCCGCAAUGGACGAAAGUCUGACGGAGCAACGCCGCGUGAGCGAUGAAGGCCUU